rnacentral:rRNA from 1 species
UGAGUAAUGUCUGGGAAACUGCCCGAUGGAGGGGGAUAACUACUGGAAACGGUAGCUAAUACCGCAUAACGUCGCAAGACCAAAGUGGGGGACCUUCGGGCCUCACACCAUCGGAUGUGCCCAGAUGGGAUUAGCUAGUAGGUGGGGUAAUGGCUCACCUAGGCGACGAUCCCUAGCUGGUCUGAGAGGAUGACCAGCCACACUGGAACUGAGACACGGUCCAGACUCCUACGGGAGGCAGCAGUGGGGAAUAUUGCACAAUGGGCGCAAGCCUGAUGCAGCCAUGCCGCGUGUAUGAAGAAGGCCUUCGGGUUGUAAAGUACUUUCAGCGGGGAGGAAGGCGGUGGAGUUAAUAGCUUCACCGAUUGACGUUACCCGCAGAAGAAGCACCGGCUAACUCCGUGCCAGCAGCCGCGGUAAUACGGAGGGUGCAAGCGUUAAUCGGAAUUACUGGGCGUAAAGCGCACGCAGGCGGUCUGUCAAGUCGGAUGUGAAAUCCCCGGG